rnacentral:rRNA from 1 species
UUACACAUGCAAGUCGAACGGCAGCACGGACUUCGGUCUGGUGGCGAGUGGCGAACGGGUGAGUAAUGUAUCGGAACGUGCCCAGUAGCGGGGGAUAACUACGCGAAAGCGUAGCUAAUACCGCAUACGCCCUACGGGGGAAAGCAGGGGAUCGCAAGACCUUGCACUAUUGGAGCGGCCGAUAUCGGAUUAGCUAGUUGGUGGGGUAACGGCUCACCAAGGCGACGAUCCGUAGCUGGUUUGAGAGGACGACCAGCCACACUGGGACUGAGACACGGCCCAGACUCCUACGGGAGGCAGCAGUGGGGAAUUUUGGACAAUGGGGGAAACCCUGAUCCAGCCAUCCCGCGUGUGCGAUGAAGGCCUUCGGGUUGUAAAGCACUUUUGGCAGGAAAGAAACGUCGCGGGUUAAUACCCCGCGGAACUGACGGUACCUGCAGAAUAAGCACCGGCUAACUACGUGCCAGCAGCCGCGGUAAUACGUAGGGUGCAAGCGUUAAUCGGAAUUACUGGGCGUAAAGCGUGCGCAGGCGGUUCGGAAAGAAAGAUGUGAAAUCCCAGAGCUUAACUUUGGAACUGCAUUUUUAACUACCGGGCUAGAGUGUGUCAGAGGGAGGUGGUAUUCCGCGUGUA